GGCGGCCUUGUACACACCGCCCGUCACACCAUGGGAGUGGGUUGCAAAAGAAGUAGGUAGCUUAACCUUCGGGAGGGCGCUUACCACUUUGUGAUUCAUGACUGGGGUGAAGUCGUAACAAGGUAACCGUAGGGGAACCUGCGGUUGGAUCACCUCCUUA
rnacentral:rRNA from 1 species